GGAGGUACUAUAUGCAAUAUCUGUGUAUCUUAGAUAUGCAUUACUUGAUCUAUCAUCUAUCUUGCAUUUUGACCUUGCAAAUGAUAUAUACUAGAGGAAAAGAUGCUUUCCUCUGAAGGAUAGCUUGUAAUGACUGAUAUGCAAUUUAUCAUGUGAUCAUUGUUUGACAAGUAGUGAACAAGUAGUUAUUGGCCACAUACAUAAUAUAAGGUUUUGUGAAAAAGUCUAGUUCACCCUUUACCAGAAGUUUCUGUAAUCAAUAGGUACAAUUUUUCCCAAGCCAGCAAUAUGCAUCCCUAGGCAUGUCUAUCAAACUAUCCUAAUGUGACACUGGCAUCAUUGCCAUAUUAGUUCAACGUUUGAACUUAAUAUUGAGAUUUAGGCACUAUUAAGACCAAAGUCCUUAAUAUCUCCCCCCAAUUUUCCCCUAUUUAGACAAUUUAAGGAGGAGUUUCUCGUUUUGCAUCGUUUUAAUUCAAAAUCUCUUAUAUAAUCCGUUCUGCUUUUGCAGCUGGCUGCUAGUGGUAUAUCAGACGAGCAGAGGAAAGUUCAAAUGGAUUCUGUAAAUCCUAAAUAUGUUCUUCGGAACUAUUUAUGUCAGACAGCCAUUGAUUCAGCUGAACUAGGUGAUUUUGGAGAAGUGAGGAGGUUGCUUAAACUAAUAGAGAGGCCAUAUGAUGAGCAACUGGGGAUGGAAAAAUAUGCCCGCCUUCCACCAGCUUGGGCUUAUCGGCCAGGAGUCUGCAUGCUUUCUUGUUCUUCAUGAGUUGCUUGCUUGCGUUAAAAAUUGCAAAAAUAUAUUUUUAGCUUGUAUAUAAUAGUUGAAUUUAAUUUUCCUUUGGGAGUCCGAAAAAUAAAAUGUAGAAUACGUAUACCUUUGUUUCUAUAUGUUGUUAGAACAGUUUAUGGUUGGAAAAAAAAUAUUUACUAUUUUCUUAUUUGUUCGCAUAUAAAUGGCAGUGGCUGCUGGUUCAGCUCGAGGCUGCCUGGAACUGGCUGUU
rnacentral:misc_RNA from 1 species